rnacentral:rRNA from 1 species
AACAAACGCUGGCGGCGUGCCUAAUACAUGCAAGUCGAACGGGGAAAGCUUUCGGGUGAGUACUAGUGGCGCACGGGUGAGUAACGCGUGGAUAAUCUGCCUUAGAGUGGGGGAUAACUAGUCGAAAGAUUAGCUAAUACCGCAUAAGACCACAGGAACCGAGGUUCUAGAGGUCAAAGGAUUUUCGCUCUAAGAUGAGUCCGCGUAAGAUUAGCUAGUUGGUGAGGUAACGGCUCACCAAGGCAACGAUCUUUAACUGGUCUGAGAGGAUGAUCAGUCACACUGGAACUGAGACACGGUCCAGACUCCUACGGGAGGCAGCAGUAGGGAAUAUUGCACAAUGGAGGAAACUCUGAUGCAGCGACGCCGCGUGAGUGAUGAAGGCCUUCGGGUCGUAAAGCUCUGUCGCAGGGGAAUAACACAAUGAAUGUACCCUGUAAGAAAGGAUCGGCUAACUUCGUGCCAGCCGCCGCAGUAAGAC